CUUGGCGAUAAGAGGCGAUGAAGGACGUAGUAAUCUGCGAAAAGCGUAGGGGAGCUGAUAAACGAGCUUUGAGCCUACGAUCUCCGAAUGGGGCAACCCACAUACUUUAGGGUAUGUAUCAUUAACUGAAUACAUAGGUUAAUGAGGCGAACCCGGCGAACUGAAACAUCUAAGUAGCCGGAGGAAAAGAAAUCAACCGAGAUUUCCCUAGUAGCGGCGAGCGAACGGGAAACAGCCUGCAAGUAAUAUUUAACGUUUUAGUGGAACAAGCUGGAAAGCUUAGCGAUACAGGGUGAUAGCCCCGUACACGAAAAGGCGUUAAAGGUACUAAGCUUGCGACAAGUAGGGCGGGGCACGAGAAACCUUGUCUGAA
rnacentral:rRNA from 13 species